GAUGUCAGGUGCUUCCUCGAGCUCUGACGGUUGAUAGAGUUAAAAUAAAUAUGAUAAAUAAAUAUAACAACAAAAUUACAAUACAAUUAGAGCAUCUGUAUCAAAGAAAACAAAACCUGUGUGGAAAGUGUGCUGCAUAAUAUUUGACUGCUAUCAAACCAGACAACACAAACUGAAUGGGAUGAAUAUGAUGUGGGUGACCCCCCUGAGUCGAGAAGGUAAAGAUGGAGCCAGGUGCCGCGGUGGAGUCCCAGCUGAGACCUUCUGACCCGCGACUCUCCUCUCAAUCCACUCCUGUCCGGUGAAUCAGCUUUCAGGACUCUCCCCGGACUUUCCACCCAGGCCAGAACAAUGGCGGGCCCAGGAGCCCAACUUCCCCACAGGCCCCGACGAGAGGAGGCCGGGGGCUGGGUACUGAGGGAGCCGCUCAGCACGCUGAAAUAUGGACGCGACAGAUAAGGUGGCAGAGGCACAGAGAGGCCCUCUCCCAGGGGCCCAAGGGGAAAUUUGCAGUUAUUAAGAGGAAGAUG